rnacentral:rRNA from 1 species
UACGUAGGAGGCGAGCGUUGUCCGGAAUCACUGGGUGUAAAGCGCGUGUAGGCGGCCUGCCAAGUCUGCUGUGAAAGCGCCUGGCUUAACCGGGCGAGGUCGGUGGAAACUGGCGGGCUGGAGGACGGUAGAGGGGGUGGAAUUCCCGGUGUAGUGGUGAAAUGCGUAGAGAUCGGAGGAACACCAGUGGCGAAGGCGGCCCCCUGGGCCGUUCCUGACGCUGAGACGCGAAGGCGCGGGGAGCGAACGGG